rnacentral:rRNA from 1 species
AGUGAACGCUGGCGGUAGGCCUAACACAUGCAAGUCGAACGGCAGCACAGUAAGAGCUUGCUCUUACGGGUGGCGAGUGGCGGACGGGUGAGGAAUACAUCGGAAUCUACUUUUUCGUGGGGGAUAACGUAGGGAAACUUACGCUAAUACCGCAUACGACCUACGGGUGAAAGCAGGGGAUCUUCGGACCUUUCGCGAUUGAAUGAGCCGAUGUCGGAUUAGCUAGUUGGCGGGGUAAAGGCCCACCAAGGCGACGAUCCGUAGCUGGUCUGAGAGGAUGAUCAGCCACACUGGAACUGAGACACGGUCCAGACUCCUACGGGAGGCAGCAGUGGGGAAUAUUGGACAAUGGGCGCAAGCCUGAUCCAGCCAUACCGCGUGGGUGAAGAAGGCCUUCGGGUUGUAAAGCCCUUUUGUUGGGAAAGAAAAGCAGCAGGUUAAUACACCGAUGUUCUGACGGUACCCAAAGAAUAAGCACCGGCUAACUUCGUG